AAAAAAAAAAACACACAAAUGAUGAGAGAAAUGUUGUAGUUUAUAGCUCAUACAUCUCGUACAUGCACUGGACACUUUAGUGUAUAUACAUGUGUACAUACUUACAUACAAGUAUACCUUGCUCUUGUCUUGCAUGUGAUCAGAGGAGAAUGGCCAGACCGGUUUAAGGUGAUAGGAAGGCUCCAGUAACUUAAAUAUCCACUCGUUACAACCGUGAUGAGCAGAAAAGCAUCUCAGCUUGCACAUCACGCUGAAUCCUGAGACGCCUUGCACUCCCCUUCCCUUUAACCCAUUGUAUGUUGACGGUCCUUCUCUCUGAGUGGAGCUCUCUUAUCUUCGUUCAAGUUCAUAUCCUCCUAGAAAGGCACAGAGCGAGCGUGGAGAAAAGGGUAAAUGAUGCAGCUUCAUCUCCUGCCAAGAGGCAACUUGAUAAAAG